GACGAACGCUGGCGGCGUGCCUAAUACAUGCAAGUCGAGCGGACUUUCAAGAAGCUUGCUUUUUGAAAGUUAGCGGCGGACGGGUGAGUAACACGUGGGCAACCUGCCUGCAAGACGGGGAUAACUCCGGGAAACCGGGGCUAAUACCGGAUAAUAUCUUCCUUCGCAUGAAGGAAGGUUGAAAGGCGGCGCAAGCUGCCGCUUGCAGAUGGGCCCGCGGCGCAUUAGCUAGUUGGUGAGGUAACGGCUCACCCAGGCGACGAUGCGUAGCCGACCUGAGAGGGUGAUCGGCCACACUGGGACUGAGACACGGCCCAGACUCCUACGGGAGGCAGCAGUAGGGAAUCUUCCGCAAUGGACGAAAGUCUGACGGGGCAACGCCGCGUGAGCGAAGAAGGUCUUCGGAUCGUAAAGCUCUGUUGUCAGGGAAGAACAAGUACCGUUCGAACAGGGCGGUACCUUGACGGUACCUGACCAGAAAGCCACGGCUAACUACGUG
rnacentral:rRNA from 1 species